CGCUUGAAAAUGAAAAUGUUAGUGUAGAUGUAGCCUAAGUGAGUGUAGAGCAUCUUCUGGAAAGACGUGCUCCAUACUCAUUGUGGAGGAUGCAGAGGGCUCAGAUGACUGACAUCACGCAGGAAGUGUCUGACACAUGGUCUGAUGUUCUGUCCAUCGGGCCAGUCUGUCAGGCUGGACGGUUGUCACACCGUGCACACCUCCCAAAGGGAUCGUGGUGUGUUGUGCGUCUGUGUGAAAAUGAAUGUCAUCUGUUUGAGCAGGGUGCUGGAACAGCUGCUAUGGUCCAUGUGUACACUCAGCACAGUGAGCACACAGCUGCUAGCUGGCUAACUUGUGGAGCAUUCAGGAGCUAAAGAGCCAGGCCUGUUCCUCAAUAAAAAGCACACCGAGGCUAAAAGGAGAGUGGGUACUGGAUUUAUUGUUGUCUGUUGGACACAAACAUGGAUUGCUGCAGCUCUGGGUCCUGCUCAGCCUAAAUGACAUUCAAAUGAGGACAUUGUGAAAAUAUUUAAUUUACUGAUUUGUAAAUCCCUCAAGCGUGUGCCCCAUGCACAGAGAAACUGCUUUCAAUGAUGAGUAUCAAUGUUCCUGUACAAUGCAUCCAGUAUGUGUGCUAUACAUCAGUACAUUCUGCACUCCUCUUCUGCUGUCUAUAUUGUUAGCUUUACUACAAUAUACCAUGAGUAAAUAUUACAAGCAAUGAGCAAAAACAUGCAUUUUUGGAAUAAUAAGUAAAGAAAUACAAUGAAAAUGCCGCUGUGGAGA